UCUCACUAAUUGCCCAAGCCAUGACGCUUCUCGGCUGAUUGGUCUCAUUAACUCCAUGCACAAUUUCACUCAUUCUGCACUGACUCUCUGCCACGUAAAGACAGCUUGGAUAGACACACAGCGUGACAUUAAGGUUAGUAUUCAUUUAAUUAAAGUAAUAUUGCAUUUAAUCCUUGCAGUAUUUAUAUAAUAAACGUAUAUCUAUUUACUAUCAUUUAAAUAGGUAUUAUAUUGUAUAGCAUGUAAGUGUGCUAAAUGUAUUUAUGCUAGCUUUUCAAGCCUAAGGUAUAAACAUAAAUAAGUAUCACUAAUAUAUUCUUAUCUUUACUAUCCCUUUCACUGAAUGUGUGAGAUGAGAGAAUGUGUUUUAAUAUAAGUUGCUAUGUUUUAACUGUGAUAACUAUAAGUGUAAUUAUCAAUGUGUGGAAAUAAUUUUAUGUUCAUGAAUGUAGCAGCCCUAAAUCUACUCCACAUUACAGUGUAUAUUAUUUAUCAUCUAAUAUUAUUUGCAGCAGAUAAGUCCCCGUCCAUAAGACUGGUGCUGUGCCCGAUUGUUGUACACCCUUGUACCACCCACAGGGGUGUCGUUUAACAUUCAGCAAUGUUUCAUCCUACGAAAUAAACAACCUCACACCCCA